rnacentral:rRNA from 1 species
CCUACGGGAGGCUGCAGUGAGGAAUAUUGGUCAAUGGCCGAGAGCCUGAACCAGCCAAGUAGCGUGAGGGAUGACUGCCCUACGGGUUGUAAACUUCUUUUGUCAAGGAGUAAAGUGACACACGUGUGGCUGUUGGAGAGUACUUGAUGAAUAAGCAUCGGCUAACUCCGUGCCAACAGCCGCGGUAAUACGGAGGAUGCGAGCGUUAUCCGGAUUUAUUGGGUUAAAGGGGGGGGUAGGCGGGUUGUAAAGUCAGCGGGAAAAUGGUGGAGUUCAACCUCAUACAGCCGUUGAAAACGGUGAUCUUGAGUAGGCGAGAGGUAUGCGGAAUGCGUGGUGUAGCGGUGAAAUGCAUAGAUAUCACGCAGAACUCCGAUUGCGAAGGCAGCAUACCGGCGCGCGACUGACGCUGAUGCACGAAAGCGUGGGUAUCGAACAGGAUUAGAUACCCUUGUAGUC